UACAGAGACUGCGGGCGUUAUUCGGAUUCACUGGGCGUAAAGGGUGCGCAGGCGGCCGUGUGUGUGAGGCGUGAAAGCCCGGGGCUUAACCCCGGAAUUGCACCUCAAACUACACGGCUAGAGCAUUGGAGAGGGUAGCGGAAUUCACGGUGUAGCAGUGAAAUGCGUAGAUAUCGUGAGGAACACCAGAGGCGAAGGCGGCUACCUGGACAAUUGCUGACGCUCAGGCACGAAAGCGUGGGGAGCAAAAGGG
rnacentral:rRNA from 1 species